UGGGGAAUUUUGCGCAAUGGGGGAAACCCUGACGCAGCAACGCCGCGUGGAGGAUGAAGUACUUCGGUACGUAAACUCCUUUCGAUCGGGACGAUAAUGACGGUACCGGAAGAAGAAGCCCCGGCUAACUUCGUGCCAGCAGCCGCGGUAAUACGAGGGGGGCAAGCGUUGUUCGGAAUUAUUGGGCGUAAAGGGUGCGUAUGCGGUUUGGUAAGUCUUGUGUGAAAUCUCCGGGCUCAACUCGGAGUCUGCAUAGGAAACUGCCGGGCUUGAGUAUGGGAGAGGUGAGUGGAAUUUCCGGUGUAGCGGUGAAAUGCGUAGAUAUCGGAAGGAACACCUGUGGCGAAAGCGGCUCACUGGACCAUAACUGACGCUGAUGCACGAAAGCUAGGGGAGCAAACA
rnacentral:rRNA from 1 species